rnacentral:rRNA from 1 species
ACGCCACAGUUGCCAGCAUGUCCUCCGGGAUGAUGGGGACACUGUUGGGACCGCCUCUGCUAAAGAGGAGGAAGGAAUGGGCAACGGUAGGUCAGCAUGCCCCGAAUUAUCCGGGCUACACGCGGGCUACAAUGGUCAGGACAAUGGGUAUCGACACCGAGAGGUGGAGGCAAUCUCCUAAACCUGUCCUUAGUUCGGAUUGUGGGCUGCAACUCGCCCACAUGAAGCUGGAAUCCGUAGUAAUCGCGUUUCAAAAUAGCGCGGUGAAUAUGUCCCUGCUCCUU